rnacentral:lncRNA from 1 species
UCCUCAUGACUUCUGAACUGAUCUUUUGCAGAACCAUAUUGGCCCCCCAACUUUGCCUUAUCCUUAGACAUUUCAGUAAAUUUCCCUAAUCACCUCCACAAUCAUUCAAAAUGUAUUUGUGGCCUCAUGUAAUGGCCAAAAAAGACCACUCCUCAUAGGAAGAUGUUAGAUUACCCACUACAUUUCUUACCUUUAUUACAAAGGAGAGAGUUUCUACCCUGGCCUGGAAGCCUCUAUGCCCCUGCUGCCAAUAUUUUGUCCUCAAUGCACCAGAUGACAUACUUCAGAGCUCUGCUGUGGUACACUUGAUAAAGCACAUUGCAGAACCACACACUUCUUUGAUAAUGCUUAUAUUUGUUGCAUGUAAUACAAAGUGGGAACUUCUACAACAAAAUAAUUAAUUAGAAGAACAUAAGUACUUUACAGAAUCCAAGAAACCAAAGCAGCAAGCAUGCUUCGCAAGGACAGAAACAAGGGUAGCUCAAGAGAACUCAAUAGUAGGUAUUCUAAAUAAUGUUCUCUAUACAGAAAUGGCAGUAAUGAAACUUAGAGGAAAAACACUGAGUUUUGGGGUCUAGUUCCAAACUCCAAAUUAUCAGGAAAAAUACCUGAUUGGCUCAUCUAGGGUGAGGUGACAAGUAUCAAACCAAGUAGCAAUGGCCAUGGGACUCAGUCACACAGAAAAUAGAAGAAUGUGUGUACAGUUGGAAGGUCUCAGAGAAAAGGAGUCUGUUGGACAGAAUGACCAGUCUGUGACUACUGCCAUUUUUCAUGACCAUAUAUCAACCCACAUUACAGAUGUAACUUAGUGAGAGAAAACAUCUCCCUGUUUUCCUUCAUAUAUUAUGAAAUAUUUACUUUUUCUAGUAUUUUGUCUAUCUUACGUCAAAGAUUUAAAUAUCUUUGACCUCCUGUACUAAAUACCACGCCACAUCAGUUUUAGUUGCCUUUCUUUUUUCCUUAGGCUAGUUUUUUGGUAUACCAUUUCUAAACCAAUGGUAGGAACAUUUUAAGGCAUCUUUUGUCUGGAAUAUGUUUUAGCAUGUACAGCAUGAAAGUUUUAUAUGUUUAUUAAUUUUUGUUUAUAAUUGUUAAUGAAUAUUAAUUUUGUUAAUGAAUAUAUAUUAAACCAAUUAAUAAACAGUCACAAAGCUGCAAAAAAAAAAAAAAA